AACCCAAUCCAGCCCCUACUCAUUUCUUCUUUUCUUCUACACCAAAUCCCUAUCCAUUUCUUCCACCCAUUUCUUCUACAGCAAAUCAGAAGCGAAAAGGAAAUUCUAAACCCAAUCCAGCCCCUACCCAUUUCUUGUUUUCUUCUCCACCAAAUCCCUACCCAUUUCUUCCACCUAUUUCUUCUACAGCAAAUCAGACACGAAAAGGAAAACAGGAACAAUGAAUAAGAGGCAAGAAUCACAGGCGAGAGACAAGAAAAAAUGGCGAGUCCGAUGACAGUGAAGAUGAAUAUGAAUCGAUCUUGAACACUCAAACCUAAAGGAAGAGAUUGCUUCAGUUUGUCUGCUUUCUCCAAGUAAAACACACACAAUACAGGUACUUUGAACAGCGAACCUUGAACUUGACGACAUCCUUUCCCUCUUGAUCUUCACUGAUCGUGCAUAUUUCAUUCUGGUAGUGAGAAGGAAGUCCAUCUUGUGAAUCUGCUUAGGGAUUUACAUGGGUUGAAGUGUCAUUUUACAAAUAAAUUUCAAGCAGCUGAUGAGAAACGCUACCAACACCAACGUUUUGUAUUUUGGCUUAUUGGACCCAUCAGCCAUGGCAAUAAGCCAUUUACCAAACACCCAAAAACAGCUUAUUUGACUGGUCAAUAAGCUAUUCUUGGUCAAAUCAGCUAAUUUUUUGCUGAUAAGCCAAUAACCAAACACCCCCGAUAACAUUACUUUGUUUUAAAGAGAAAAAUAUGUCAAGUGCUUUGUGCUUAGAUGGCAUGUAGUGACCUCUCUUAUACAAGAAGUCAUGAGUUUGAGCCUUAAUGGAGGUGAGAUUGACUUUUUGUGCUUCAAUAGACAAUAGGUUGAGAAAGUAUUAAAAAAAGAGUAAAAUAUAUUGUGAGUA